rnacentral:rRNA from 1 species
GGUCCCUUUGAUUCCAUCACCCCGGUUCAUAGGAUAACUGUGGCAUUUCCGAACCUAAUACUGGCAACAAAGCGCCGAUGGGCUUCCCCGCCGGGUGUCGGCCCGGGAGGGGCCCAGAUAUCAGCUCCAAUAAGCUUCAAAAGGCGCCUGGCGCUUCGUUCCCGGUUUCUUUUUGGACUCUCUAUAACCUCUCGGCUGAUAUCGCACUUCUCCUGGCGCGACGAGUCAUUCGAAUGUCUGCCCCAUCAACUGUUGAUGGUACUUUAGGCGACUACCACGGUGACGACGGGUGGUAAGGAAUAAUGGUGCUUUUCUUGAGAAGAAGCCUGAUAAAAAGCUACCACAUCCUCCGAGGGAGGCCAAGGAAGGCAGCAGGCGCGCAAAUUACCCAUUUCCGACUCGGAGAGGUAGUGACGAAAAAUAACAAUACAGGUCUCUUUCGAGGCCCUGUAAUUGGAAUGAGCGUAUCCUAAACCCAUGGGCGAGGACCCAUUGGAGGGCAAGUCUGGUGCCAGCAGCCGCGGUAAUUCCAGCUCCAAUAGCGUAUAUUAAAGUUGCUGCAGUUAAAAAGCUCGUAGUUGGAUCUCGGGAGUGGGCUGGCGGUCCGCCGCGAGGCGAGCCACCGCCUGUCCCGGACCCUGCCUACCGGCGCCCCCCGGAUGCCCUUGACUGGGUGUCCGGCUCAGGGGCCCGGAGCGUUUACUUUGAAAAAAUUAGAGUGUUCAAAGCAGGCCGCUCGUCGCCGCUGAAUACCGCAGCUAGGAAUAAUGGAAUAGGACUCCGGUUCUAUUUUGUGGGUUUCUGGAACCCGGGGCCAUGAUUAAAAGGGACGGCCGGGGGCAUUCGUAUUGCGCCGCUAGAGGUGAAAUUCUUGGACCGGCGGAAAGCAUUUGCCAAGAAUGUUUUCUUUAAUCAAGAACGAAAGUCGGAGGUUCGAAGACGAUCAGAUACCGUCGUAGUUCCGACCGUAAACGAUGCCGACCCGCAAUCCGGCGGCGUUAUUCCCAUGACCCGCCGAGCAGCGUGAGGGAAACCAAGAGUCUUUGGGUUCCGGGGGGAGUAUGGUUGCAAAGCUGAAACUUAAAGGAAUUGACGGAAGGGCACCACCAGGAGUGGAGCCUGCGGCUUAAUUUGACUCAACACGGGAAACCUCACCCGGCCCGGACACGGAAAGGAUUGACAGAUUGAUAGCUCUUUCUCGAUUCUGUGGGUGGUGGUGCAUGGCCGUUCUUAGUUGGUGGAGCGAUUUGUCUGGUUCAUUCCGAUAACGAACGAGACUCCGGCUUGCUAAAUAGUUACGCGGCCCCGUGCGGUCGGCGUUCAACUUCUUAGAAGGACAAGUGGCGUUCAGCCAGUUCAACUUUUUAGAGGUAUAAGGAACUUGUAAGUCACACGAGAUGAGAGCUACCACAGUCUCUGUGAUGCCCUUAUAUGUCCGGCUCUGCACGCGUGUUACUGUGGCGGGAUCAGCGUGUGUUUACCUGGGGCGAAGAGGUCGGGGUAACCGGUUGAACCCCGUCCGAGACUGAGAUUGGAGUUUGAAAUUUUUCCCCACGAACGAAGAAUUCCUUGUAGGCGCGGGUCACAAUCCCGCAUAUUAUGGGUCCCUGCCCUUUGUACACACCCCCCGUCGAUACUGCCGAUGGAUGUCUCGGUGAGGUCCAUGGACCGGUUCCCGUCCGGAGAGGGUGUGGCCCGGACAGAGACCCUGGAAAAGGAACCGACUCGUGCUACCUAAAGAAAUUAAAAUCCUAAACAAGG